UCGCGUGCGCGGCUGCGGCGCUGAGUGGCAGCUGGCGCUCUCGGAGUGUUCAGCAGCCUCCGCAGUAGCUGGAGCAGCGGAGCCCAGAGGCUGGCGGCAGCUGCGGCAGCGGCGCAGUGUCAGAGUGACCACCCUGAAAGUCCAUUAUUGCCGUAGGAGAUCAAACCUGCAUUCUUCUCCAGCUUGUGUGUCAUCAGCAUAACUGCCAGCCAGGAUCUGAUAUGUUUUGUACCCAGAUUGAUGAACAUAAGAACAGCCACACUGGGUCAGACCAAAGGUCCAUGUAGCCCAGUAUCCUGUCUUCCAACAGUGGCCAAUGUCAGAUGCCCCAGAAGGAGUAAAGAGAGCAGGUAAUUCUUAUGUGAU